UGCACCUAAGGUUUACACUAUAUAGAAACAUUCACAGAAAUAGACCAUGAUUGUGACGCCAUAACUCUCCUCGUACUACACUCUAGUCAUUAAAGAUAAGGACAAUACCGUAAACUUCCAACUAUAAGCCCUGGGCUUACAUUCUUUCGUAAGCGAUUUUUGAUGGGCUUAUGUAGGGGGGGGGGACUUAUAUACAGGGGGCGUAUACA